AGCUUCAUUCCCUAGGAGAAUGGGCACAGUUGCUCAUGGUGUCCAAAAUUGAUAAUGUGGUUAAACUGAGAUACAGAUUAUGCUUCCACCACAGAUAAAUUUACUGCAGUGGUAACAAUGAGACCUGUAACAUUU
rnacentral:snoRNA from 1 species